rnacentral:tRNA from 1 species
GCACGGGUGGUGGAAUGGUAGACACGCUACGUUGAGGUCGUAGUGGGCGCAAGCCUGUGGGGGUUCAAGUCCCCCUUCGUGCACCA